rnacentral:rRNA from 1 species
CUACGGGUCGCUGCAGCUAAGAAUCUUCCGCAAUGGACGAAAGUCUGACGGAGCGACGCCGCGUGAACGAUGAAGGCCGUGAGGUUGUAAAGUUCUUUUCCGAGGGGAGAAUAAGGAUGGCAGGGAAUGGCCGUCUGAUGACGUGAACUCGGGAAUAAGCCCCGGCUAACUACGUGCCAGCAGCCGCGGUAACACGUAGGGGGCGAGCGGUGUUCGGAAUCAUUGGGCGUAAAGGGUGCGCAGGCGGUGACGCAAGUCUGGUGUGAAAGAUCUCGGCUCAACCGGGGGAACGCGCUGGAAACUGUGUCACUAGAGUACAGGAGGGGGAGUUGGAAUUCCAGGUGUAGGGGUGAAAUCUGUAGAUAUCUGGAAGAACACCGGUGGCGAAGGCGGACUUCUGGCCAUGUACUGACGCUGAGGCACGAAGGCGUGGGGAGCAAACAGGAUUAGAUACCCCAGUAGUC